rnacentral:misc_RNA from 1 species
GAAAUGCGAUAAGUAAUGUGAAUUGCAGAAUUCAGUGAAUCAUCGAAUGUUUGAACGCACAUUGCGCCCGCCAGUAUUCUGGCGGGCAUGCCUGUUCGAGCGUCAUUUCAACCAUCAAGCCCCCGGCUUGUGUUGGGGACCUGCGGCUGCCCGCAGGCCCUGAAAAACAGUGGCGGGCUCGCUGUCACACCGAGCGUAGUAGCAUACAUUCUCGCUCAGGGCGUGCUGCGGGUUCCGGCCGUUAAACGACCUUCAUAACCCAAGGUUGACCUCGGAUCAGGUAGGAAGACCCGCUGAACUUAAGC